rnacentral:rRNA from 1 species
UACGAAGGGGGCUAGCGUUGCUCGGAAUCACUGGGCGUAAAGGGUGCGUAGGCGGGUCUUAAGUCAGGGGUGAAAUCCCGGGGCUCAACCUCGGAACUGCCUUUGAUACUGCGGAUCUCGAGUCCGAUAGAGGUGGGUGGAAUUCCUAGUGUAGAGGUGAAAUUCGUAGAUAUUAGGAAGAACACCGGGUGGCGAAGGCGGCCCACUGGAUCGGUACUGACGCUGAGGUGCGAAAGCGUGGGGAGCAAACAGG